CAAGCCUGGACGAGAGAGAUUUUACAGAGGACAGUAUCAAGUUCAAGAUAUGAACAGUGAUUCAGAGGAAGACGUUCUGGUGGAUGACUGGAUGACAUCCAAACAAGAUCUGUUGGACACAUCAGAUGAAGAGCUGAAUGAUGACCUUUUGUGUAGCGAUGAUGAGAACGAAACUAUAAGAUGUCACAAUGAAAGCAUUUCUAAACCAAAACUGCAGGCGAUUGCAAAGCCUUACCUCGUUUGCAAAACUCCACACCUUGCUGAAGACCAAGGCAGAUGUCCUAAAGAAGAGGUGGAAGUGGACCCUGGUGAAGUUUUAGACAUCGAAAUCAAUGCCCCUUCUGGAGAUGAAUUUCACCAGGAAGUUGCUGACUACAGUGAUCAUCAGCAGGCCAAUGUAAAGAUGGAUGUUAAGGAUGACAUUAAGGUGGUGUCCAGUUUGCAGGAGUCAAGAGAGGGUGGAUCUGAGUUGCGAGAGGGUCUCUCUCCUCAACCCUUUGGGCCUCAUCUCACACACUCCUGUGGGGGACAGCCUGCCCCAGAGGAGACCCUCACUGGACCCUGCUGCAGUCCUGAGCCAGUGUUCCCAGGACAGCAUAUGUUUGAUCCACAACACUCUGCUUCAGUCUUGGACACUAAUCCGCCCCUUGCUGGACCUACUCCCAUGGGCUCCAUUCAGCCUCCAGGAAAUGAGAGUGACCCCUGCAGGCCCAGUCUAGCUUUGCAAGGGCCCACCGAUCUGUCAAGGCCUGGGACUCCCCACCGUGGGCAAAAGCCUUUUCAGAAACAUCCAUCAGCUCAGUCUGGCUGCUCCUUUACUGCUCCCUCUGGACCACAGGCACAGAAACCUGCUGUGCUGGUAAGAGCUGUUGCCAGGAUGGUGCAGAGUGCCAAGCCAAUGGCUGUUGCCAGGGGGAUGCCCAUUGCUGCAAGGCAGCCAAAAGGUGCCAAGUCUAAGAUAUCUGCCAAAACUCCACCAGCGCCAGGGAUGCUGGGAAGAAAUGUGGGUCAGAAGGUCAAGGUGCAGCCCCAAACUCCUCCAGCUACUCAAAAACAUCCCGCAAAGCCACUAAACAUGACAAACAACAAAGAGUGUGAGGAGGAGGAGUUCUACAUGGAGAGGCUGCAGGAGCAGAUGCGACUGAGGGAGCAGGUUAUCAAACAGAAGGAACGGAUGAGAUCUAGACGGGCUGUAAACAAGAAGCAUCUGCGGCAGGAGCACUUCCAAACUGAUAGUUCCACCGUACACUGGAACAAAAACCAAAAAUCAACAGAAACAGCCGUGCAUCUUGGGUUCCUGCCCUCAAAAGGUUACGCACCUGCAGCCCUUCCAUAA
rnacentral:lncRNA from 1 species